UGGGGAAUUUUGGACAAUGGGCGCAAGCCUGAUCCAGCCAUGCCGCGUGCGGGAAGAAGGCCUUCGGGUUGUAAACCGCUUUUGUCAGGGAAGAAAUCUUCUGAGUUAAUACCUCGGGAGGAUGACGGUACCUGAAGAAUAAGCACCGGCUAACUACGUGCCAGCAGCCGCGGUAAUACGUAGGGUGCAAGCGUUAAUCGGAAUUACUGGGCGUAAAGCGUGCGCAGGCGGUUUUGUAAGACAGAGGUGAAAUCCCCGGGCUCAACCUGGGAACUGCCUUUGUGACUGCAAGGCUUGAGUGCGGCAGAGGGGGGAUGGAAUUCCGCGUGUAGCAGUGAAAUGCGUAGAUAUGCGGAGGAACACCGAUGGCGAAGGCAAUCCCCUGGGCCUGCACUGACGCUCAUGCACGAAAGCGUGGGGAGCAAACAGGAUUAGAUACCCUGGUAGUCCACGCCCUAAACGAUGUCAACUGGUUGUUGGGAAGGUUCCUUCUCAGUAACGUAGCUAACGCGUGAAGUUGACCGCCUGGGGAGUACGGCCGCAAGGUUGAAACUUAAAUGAAUUGAC
rnacentral:rRNA from 1 species